rnacentral:rRNA from 1 species
UACGGGGGGGGCAAGCGUUUGUUCGGAAUUACUGGGCGUAAAGGGCUUGUAGGUGGCCAACUAAGUCAGACGUGAAAUCCCACGGCUUAACCGAGGAACUGCGUCUGAUACUGGAUGGCUUGAGUGUGGGAGAGGGAUGCGGAAUUCCAGGUGUAGCGGUGAAAUGGCGUAGAUAUCUGGAGGAACACCGGUGGCGAAGGCGGCAGUCCUGGACCAUGGACUGACACUGAAAAGCGAAAGCCAGGGGAGCAAACGGGAUUAGGAAACC